GACGAACGCUGGCGGCGUGCUUAACACAUGCAAGUCGAACGGAAAGGCCCUGCUUUUGUGGGGUGCUCGAGUGGCGAACGGGUGAGUAACACGUGAGUAACCUGCCCUUGACUUUGGGAUAACUUCAGGAAACUGGGGCUAAUACCGGAUAGGAGCUCCUGCUGCAUGGUGGGGGUUGGAAAGUUUCGGCGGUUGGGGAUGGACUCGCGGCUUAUCAGCUUGUUGGUGGGGUAGUGGCUUACCAAGGCUUUGACGGGUAGCCGGCCUGAGAGGGUGACCGGCCACAUUGGGACUGAGAUCCGGCCCAGACUCCUACGGGAGGCAGCAGUGGGGAAUAUUGCACAAUGGGCGGAAGCCUGAUGCAGCAACGCCGCGUGCGGGAUGACGGCCUUCGGGUUGUAACCCGCUUUCGCCUGUGACGAAGCGUGAGUGACGGUAAUGGGUAAAGAAGCACCGGCUAACUACGUG
rnacentral:rRNA from 1 species